AUGCUUGCUUCGGCAGCACUUACACUAAAAUUGGAACGACACAGAAGAUUAGCAUGGCCCCGGGCAAGGAUGACAGGCAAAUGCGUGAAGUGUUCCAUAUUUUU
rnacentral:snRNA from 1 species